CUCCCUCAGACAAAAAAAAAACCCUCGGCUCCCUUGUUUCUCUCUCCUUAGCAAGAGGGCCGACUCUUUUUUCUUCUCCAUCUCAUCUCCAUCUGAACCACCAAAUUGAUGGCCACUGCGAUUCUUGUUUCUCUGAUUCUUAGCAAUUCUUUUUGUUGUCUAUUCAUUUAUUCAAUUUUUAUUUCCUCUGCUUAUGAAUUUCUUCCUCUGGGUGGAGUUAGGGUUCGGAGGACAGGAAGAAAGUAAAGAAGCAUCCGAUCUGAAACCAAAAUUCGGAUUGCACGGGCUCUUCGUCUUCGACUGGAUAUGCAAAUUAGUUUCUAUUUCCACCAACUUGUUGAUCUUCUCUCUAUGUUUUUAAAGCUUCAAUCUUUAAGCUUGCAUGUUACAGAUCUUGAAUGUUUAACUCUGAUGGAAUUUUGUUUAUGUGUUUUUGAGAAAUUUGGGUAUUAUUUGAUUUAGGAUUACGGUAAAUUGAAAUUUUGAUGUGCUUGAUUUUGGAGGAGAGAGUUGCAUCGGUCGAUCAUUCCGAAGACGAUGACAACGAGGAAGAGGAUGAGAUUCUUGGUUCAUAUGUAUGUAGAAAAAAGAAAAUGGAGGUGUAAACCCAGACCGUUGCAAAAUGUUUGAGCUUACCCAUGUCCACGAUAAUGAAAAACCUGAUGAACCGAAUUCUAAAGCUAUUGCCUUGAUGAAGGACAAGAUUGACAAGAUGAAGACUACAAAGAGGGCAUCCCAACUUCCAGAGGUUCUUAAUGAUUUUGAAAUCAAUGAAGUAUAUGUGGCUGUGCUUGGAAAAGAGACACGUGGAGGGGUGUGAGGAUUUGGCAUUGGAGCCAUACCUGAACAAGUUCCUGGUGUACUAGUGUAGAAGAGAUGUGUUCAUUUAGAGGUACAAGCAAUGAGAGAACAACAUGAGGUUUGAGAUUGAAACGAUUUGGAAGGAGAGCCAAGAAAAGGAAGAUAAGCAGAAAUGAACAAACAAAUUCUGGCCACAAAAGAUAAAUUUAAAAAUAUGGAGAUUGCAAUGAAAAAACAGGAAGCUCUUAUGGCUUUGUUACUUGGGGCAUAUGAGUCAAGUGAUAUGCUUGCUGCAGCUUUAAGAAUGAAGGGUGGUUCUCUCUAACCAUCGAUGAGCCAUAUUCAAUCUUCAUAUGAGCAGAACUUGGAUGAUGUUUACAUACCACAUUGCUUUGAAGAAUUGCAGCUGCAAGUUACCAGAAAUUGAGGCACACUUCAGACUUCACCUUUUGGUUAGUAACAAUUGUGCUUAAGGCCUCUGUGUGUUUGUUGUUUAGGACUUAAUCUAUGAUCUCUCUAGUAUAUUGGUGGUAGCUACCUGAUCAUGGGAUAAGUGCACAACGGCUUUUAAGUUUAGCUUCAUAGGUAGAUUUAGGUUUUGGAUGUAUAUUUGUGAAGUCUGAUUUAGUUUAAUAGUGUUCAACUACUAUUUGGACUCUAUAGUAGUUUGUGUAUAUCUGUCAGGUAUUAUACUUGGAGUGGUUAAUGUAAUAUUAAAGUAUUAAAUGAAGGA